rnacentral:rRNA from 1 species
GGGCUUGACAUCCCACGAACCUGCCCGAAAAGGUGGGGUGCCCGCAAGGGAGCGUGGAGACAGGUGGUGCAUGGCUGUCGUCAGCUCGUGUCGUGAGAUGUUGGGUUAAGUCCCGCAACGAGCGCAACCCUCACCCCUAGUUGCCACCGGGUUAAGCCGAGCACUCAAGGGGAACUGCCAGCGUCAAGCUGGAGGAAGGCGGGGAUGACGUCAAGUCAUCAUGCCCCUUACGCCCUGGGCUACACACGUGCUACAAUGGCCAGUACAAAGGGACGCGAGACUGCGAAGUGGAGCUAAUCCCAAAAAGCUGGUCUAAGUUCAGAUUGCAGUCUGCAACUCGACUGCAUGAAGGAGGAAUCGCUAGUAAUCGCGUAUCAGCCCGGCGCGGUGAAUACGUUCCCGGGCCUUGUACACAUCGCCCGUCACACCACGAAAGCUGUCUGUACUCGAAGUCGCUGAG